GCUUAACGCGAAGAACCUUACCAAGGCUUAAAUGUAUUAUGACCGUCCUGGAAACAGGACUUUCUUCGGACAGAAUGCAGGGUGCUGCAUGGCUGUCGUCAGCUCGUGCCGUGAGGUGUCAGGUUAAGUCCUAUAACGAGCGCAACCCCUAUCACUAGUUGCCAGCGUUUCAAGACGGGGACUCUAGUGAGACUGCCAACGCAAGUUGCGAGGAAGGUGGGGACGACGUCAAGUCAUCACGGCCCUUACGCCUUGGGCCACACACGUGCUACAAUGGCCGGUACAGAGGGCAGCUACUAUGUGAAUAGAUGCGAAUCUCGAAAGCCGGUCUCAGUUCGGAUUGGAGUCUGCAACUCGACUCUAUGAAGCUGGAAUCGCUAGUAAUCGCAUAUCAGCCAUGAUGCGGUGAAUACGUUCCCGGGUCUUGUACACACCG
rnacentral:rRNA from 1 species